rnacentral:rRNA from 1 species
GACGAACGCUGGCGGCGUGCCUAAUACAUGCAAGUUGAGCGAUGAAGAUUGGUGCUUGCACCAAUUUGAAGAGCAGCGAACGGGUGAGUAACGCGUGGGGAAUCUGCCUUUGAGCGGGGGACAACAUUUGGAAACGAAUGCUAAUACCGCAUAACAACUUUAAACAUAAGUUUUAAGUUUGAAAGAUGCAAUUGCAUCACUCAAAGAUGAUCCCGCGUUGUAUUAGCUAGUUGGUGAGGUAAAGGCUCACCAAGGCGAUGAUACAUAGCCGACCGGAGAGGGUGAUCGGCCACAUUGGGACUGAGACACGGCCCAAACUCCUACGGGAGGCAGCAGUAGGGAAUCUUCGGCAAUUGACGAAAGUCUGACCGAGCAACGCCGCGUGAGUGAAGAAGGUUUUCGGAUCGUAAAACUCUGUUGGUAGAGAAGAACGUUGGUGAGAGUGGAAAGCUCAUCAAGUGACGGUAACUACCCAGAAAGGGACGGCUAACUACGUG